rnacentral:lncRNA from 1 species
GAUGCCGGAGUUCUUGGAGCUAGUUAUCUUCUAUAUCGUAUUGCCUUAGUGAAAGGGCUAGCUUGGCUAGUGUGCAUCUACGGCGUUCCCCUCCUCAUCGUGAACGGUUUCCUUGUCCUGAUCACCUAUUUGCAGCACACUCACCCAUCAUUGCCUCACUAUGACUCAACCGAGUGGGACUGGCUAAGGGGAGCACUGGCAACCUGCGACAGAGACUACGGCGUUCUAAACAAAGUCUUCCACAACAUCACCGACACUCACGUGGUGCACCAUCUGUUCUCAAACAUGCCACACUACCACGCGAUGGAAGCAACCAAAGCAGUCAAGCCAUUACUCGGAGA